rnacentral:rRNA from 1 species
UCACGUAGGGCGCGAGCGUUGUCCGGAAUUAUUGGGCGUAAAGAGCUCGUAGGCGGCCUGUUGCGUCCGCUGUGAAAGCCCGGGGCUUAACCCCGGGUCGGCAGUGGAUACGGGCAGGCUAGAGGUAGGUAGGGGAGAAUGGAAUUCCCGGUGUAGCGGUGAAAUGCGCAGAUAUCGGGAGGAACACCGGUGGCGAAGGCGGUUCUCUGGGCCUUACCUGACGCUGAGGAGCGAAAGCGUGGGGAGCGAACAGG